CUACGGGACGCAGCAGUGGGGAAUAUUGCACAAUGGGCGCAAGCCUGAUGCAGCCAUGCCGCGUGUAUGAAGAAGGCCUUCGGGUUGUAAAGUACUUUCAGCGGGGAGGAAGGGAGUAAAGUUAAUACCUUUGCUCAUUGACGUUACCCGCAGAAGAAGCACCGGCUAACUCCGUGCCAGCAGCCGCGGUAAUACGGAGGGUGCAAGCAUUAAUCGGAAUUACUGGGCGUAAAGCGCACGCAGGCGGUUUGUUAAGUCAGAUGUGAAAUCCCCGGGCUCAACCUGGGAACUGCAUCUGAUACUGGCAAGCUUGAGUCUCGUAGAGGGGGGUAGAAUUCCAGGUGUAGCGGUGACAUGCGUAGAGAUCUGGAGGAAUACCGGUGGCGAAGGCGGCCCCCUGGACGAAGACUGACGCUCAGGUGCGAAAGCGUGGGGAGCAAACAGGAUUAGAUACCCCAGUAGUC
rnacentral:rRNA from 1 species